GAAAAAGAAAUGAAAAAGGAUAGAAAAGAAGCAGAAUGAAACGAAACAGAGAGCAAGGGAGGAAAAGAAAGAAAGGAAGAAAAGGGAAAAUUGGGGGUUUGAUGCUUGAAGCUUAAAUAGCUAACGAGGUGCCGAAAAAUCCUCGGUUAAGAAAGAAAAACACGAAGUCAACGAGGGUUAGCUUGGAAAUCAUGGUUUGUGUUUCUAUACUCCGAAACUUAUCUAUUAGUUGUUGCAUUUAUUAUUUCAUGUAUAAGGUAUGUGAAAUAAGGUGAGUAUGUGAUAUCAUAAUGUUGAAUUGAAUGUGUGAUUAUUGGAAAUGAAUUGAAAUGUAUAUUGUAUUGAAAGUGAAUUGCAUGUAGAUUGAUAUGGAAAAA